rfam:TPA: Bos taurus chromosome X, whole genome shotgun sequence.
UCCCUGGUGGCUCAGCUGGUAAAGAACCUGCCUGCAAUGCAGGAGACCUGGGUUCCAUCCCUGGGUUGGGAA